rnacentral:tRNA from 1 species
GCGGGUGUGGCGAAAUGGCAGACGCGCCAGGUUUAGGACCUGGUGCCGAGAGGCGUCCCGGUUCGAAUCCGGGCACCCGCACCA